GAUGAACGCUGGCGGCGUGCCUAAUACAUGCAAGUCGAGCGAACGGACGAGAAGCUUGCUUCUCUGAUGUUAGCUGCGGACGGGUGAGUAACACGUGGAUAACCUACCUAUAAGACUGGGAUAACUUCGGGAAACCGGAGCUAAUACCGGAUAAUAUUUUGAACCGCAUGGUUCAAAAGUGAAAGACGGUCUUGCUGUCACUUAUAGAUGGAUCCGCGCUGCAUUAGCUAGUUGGUAAGGUAACGGCUUACCAAGGCAACGAUGCAUAGCCGACCUGAGAGGGUGAUCGGCCACACUGGAACUGAGACACGGUCCAGACUCCUACGGGAGGCAGCAGUAGGGAAUCUUCCGCAAUGGGCGAAAGCCUGACGGAGCAACGCCGCGUGAGUGAUGAAGGUCUUCGGAUCGUAAAACUCUGUUAUUAGGGAAGAACAUAUGUGUAAGUAACUGUGCACAUCUUGACGGUACCUAAUCAGAAAGCCACGGCUAACUACGUG
rnacentral:rRNA from 1 species